rnacentral:rRNA from 1 species
GAUGAACGCUGGCGGCGUGCCUAAUACAUGCAAGUCGAGCGAACAGACGAGGAGCUUGCUCCUCUGACGUUAGCGGCGGACGGGUGAGUAACACGUGGAUAACCUACCUAUAAGACUGGGAUAACUUCGGGAAACCGGAGCUAAUACCGGAUAAUAUAUUGAACCGCAUGGUUCAAUAGUGAAAGACGGUUUUGCUGUCACUUAUAGAUGGAUCCGCGCCGCAUUAGCUAGUUGGUAAGGUAACGGCUUACCAAGGCAACGAUGCGUAGCCGACCUGAGAGGGUGAUCGGCCACACUGGAAGUGAGACACGGCCCAGACUCCUAGGGGAGGCAGCAGUAGGGAAUCUUCCGCAAUGGGCGAGAGCUUGACGGAGCAACGCCGCGUGAGUGAUGAAGGUCUUCGGAUCGUAAAACUCUGUUAUUAGGGAAGAACAAAUGUGUAAGUAACUAUGCACGUCUUGACGGUACCUAAUCAGAAAGCCACGGCUAACUACGUG